UAAUUAAAUCUCAACAUCCUUAUGAAUAGUACCUUACCAUGGGUACUGUUCAUCAGGUUAGUUAUUUACCAGGGUUAUUCCCCACCGCUUCUCACUGAAUCUGUUUCAUCUAUCUCUCAUCGGUUUCUUUUCUACAAUCUACGGUGUCUGUCCAAUACAUUUUUCUCCAUCGAAGCCCCUCCUCCGGUAGCCUCUCCUCCGGUGUACAGUGUCCUGUCCAAUACUUUUAUAUCUGAUUCAAUAUAUAGAUAUGAUGAAGUUCAAAGUCUUCUGGUGACUUCCAUUCCUGUUCGCUCCAAGUACCACCACAUCCUAUGAACUUAUCUGGGUCUCAUCUAUGCCUGUAUACACCAUCACUACACAAAGAUUGAAGACUGCUAAAACCCGUUGCCAAUUCUGGUCUACCAGGUGCUCGAUAUAAUGUCAAGGUCAACUCAACAAAAGUUAUUUCGACAAAAAAAAAAAACAUUUUGUGUGUGGCUUCUCUUUUUGAGGGUUUGACAUGCCUGAAACAACAUAUGAAAAGAAGAAAGUUCUUCAAGUGAACUGAUUAUGCAAUUUACACGUGAAUUUCCAACCAUUAUUUCAAAUGAGUCGAUAGUAUCUCACAGGUUAUCAAACCAGUCAUGGGUAACAAUUUUUCAAGUUUUGGCUGUUGAGAAAGUUAUAGUCAUUAGGGUUGCAAGCAGUGAGAAGCUCUUUGGUUGGAACUGUAGAGAAGUGUGGGAUUUCUGGAAGACAAACGAAAAGAGUAAAUGUUGAUUUGGAAAUGGUAAUGGAACCUCUUCUGGGACAGAACACAACACAAUAAUUUUUUUUUGUCAUAAUGGUCUGACUAGAUAUCGAUAGAAUCUCAAGUAAUCACCUUUAUUAGUUUUUGUAAUGCUUUCAUUUUGUUGUAUGUUUUAGUUGAAAUUACACAUUCAACAAAAAAAAAAUAAAAAAACAAACACCAUUCUAACCCAUGCAAAGCAUGGGCUCC